UGCCCAGCAACUCCUAUCCCUACCUCCUCGCGGUACCGGCCGGAAACUAUGAGCAAACCUUAGGGAAGAUCGGGUAACCGGGAAACUUUGGUCGUAGGCUGACAGGGAAGG
rnacentral:ribozyme from 1 species